rnacentral:rRNA from 1 species
CGGCGGACGGGUGAGUAACACGUGGAUAACCUACCUAUAAGACUGGGAUAACUUCGGGAAACCGGAGCUAAUACCGGAUAAUAUAUUGAACCGCAUGGUUCAAUAGUGAAAGACGGUUUUGCUGUCACUUAUAGAUGGAUCCGCGCCGCAUUAGCUAGUUGGUAAGGUAACGGCUUACCAAGGCAACGAUGCGUAGCCGACAUGAGAGGGUGAUCGGCCACACUGGAACUGAGACACGGUCCGG